rnacentral:pre_miRNA from 1 species
AAGAAGUCCUACCACCAGUCUACCGAGCAAUAUCACCCGCUCGGUGGAAGAUCUUACCUUUGU